GACGAACGCUGGCGGCGUGCUUAACACAUGCAAGUCGAACGGAAAGGCCCUGCUUUUGUGGGGUGCUCGAGUGGCGAACGGGUGAGUAACACGUGAGUAACCUGCCCUUGACUUUGGGAUAACUUCAGGAAACUGGGGCUAAUACCGGAUAGGAGCUCCUGCUGCAUGGUGGGGUUGGAAAGUUUCGGCGGUUGGGGAUGGACUCGCGGCUUAUCAGCUUGUUGGUGGGGUAGUGGCUUACCAAGGCUUUGACGGGUAGCCGGCCUGAGAGGGUGACCGGCCACAUUGGGACUGAGAUACGGCCCAGACUCCUACGGGAGGCAGCAGUGGGGAAUAUUGCACAAUGGGCGGAAGCCUGAGGCAGCAACGCCGCGUGCGGGAUGACGGCCUUCGGGUUGUAAACCGCUUUCGCCUGUGACGAAGCGUGAGUGACGGUAAUGGGUAAAGAAGCACCGGCUAACUACGUG
rnacentral:rRNA from 1 species